rnacentral:rRNA from 1 species
AAUAGAUACCCUGGUAGUUCACGCCGUAAACGAUGGAUACUAGCUGUUUGAGCGCAAGUUUGAGUGGCUAAGCGAAAGUGAUAAGUAUCCCACCUGGGGAGUACGGGCGCAAGCCUGAAACUCAAAGGAAUUGACGGGGGCCCGCACAAGCGGUGGAGCAUGUGGUUUAAUUCGAUGAUACGCGAGGAACCUUACCAGGGCUUAAAUGUAGAUUGACGUAUUUGGAAACAGAUAUUUCUUCGGACAAUUUACAAGGUGCUGCAUGGUUGUCGUCAGCUCGUGCCGUGAGGUGUUAGGUAAGUCCUAUAACGAGCGCAACCCUCGUUGUUAGUUGCCAGCGAGUAAUGUCGGGAACGUCUAGCAAGACUGCCAGUGUAAACUGUGAGGAAGGUGGGGAGUGACGUCAAAUCAUCACGGCCCUUACGUCCUGGGCCGACACACGUGCUACAAUGGCCGGUACAGAGAGCAGCCACUUAGCGAUAAGGAGCGAAUCUAUAAAGCCGGUCACAGUUCGGAUCGGAGU